GCCGAAGUGGUGGAACUGGCAGACGCGCUGGACUCAAAAUCCAGUGAUGGCAACAUCGUGUGGGUUCAAGUCCCACCUUCGGCACCA
rnacentral:tRNA from 1 species